rnacentral:rRNA from 1 species
UACGGAGGGUGCGAGCGUUAAUCGGAAUCACUGGGCGUAAAGCGCGCGUAGGCGGCUUUUCAAGUCAGGGGUGAAAUCCCACGGCCCAACCGUGGAACUGCCUUUGAAACUGUAGAGCUUGAGUGUCGGAGAGGGUGGCGGAAUUCCAGGUGUAGGAGUGAAAUCCGUAGAUAUCUGGAGGAACACCGGUGACGAAGGCGGCCACCUGGACGACAACUGACGCUGAGGUGCGAAAGCGUGGGUAGCAAACAGG